CCUCCUUCGGCCCCGGUUUGCCCUACGCUUGUUUUGCCUCUGAGGAUGGACUCGCGCGCAUGCGCAAGGCUGAAACCGGCUUCCCGUUCCUUGUGCGGGUCCCGGCACCUGCGGGGGAGUCUUGAAGGCGUCUGGCGGGUGGUGAACUCGGUUAACGUUUGUGAGAUUGUCGAGAUAUCCUGCCGAGAGGUUGAUCAAAGCGCCCAUCUGUCCUCGGGUUUCUUAUCGCGGCCAUCCGACCCUUCAAAGCUGCGUUUCUACAUCCGACUAAGCCAAAUUGUGGCUCGCUUAUCAACUUGAUUCUACAGCAUGCUAUUCUGUCUCCUUUAAACCAUUAACAAGAAUUUGCAGGACCACUGGGGAGCCUACCUAAUCCAGCCCUGCUCCGGACUCGGCGCGAUCCUGCUAAUUAGGCAGGACAAGAGGAAGACAUCCACCUCUGCUCAAUUGAUUCCGUUUUGAAUACUGGAUGCAGACGGGACAAAUACAAGUGAUCGAUCACUGGGGAAGCAAGAAGAGAGCUGACUUCUACUUUUUAAAAAAAAAGGAAAAAACUUUUUCUCACUUUAAUUUAGUGAAGGAAAAAAAAUGGCAUCUGAGAGGAAGUGGAUUGGAGGCUGCUUGUGAGAGAAAGUGAAGUGCGUCGUUGUGGAUUCCAGCUGAACUGAAGCUCUCCAUAGGAAGCAAGGUGAAAGUUUUUAUUUUACAACCUUAAUUUGAGACUUCAUUUAAAUCAGAAUGGCUUCUAAGCCACCUAAAGUCCCUAUAACGAGGAGGGGGUCUGAAUCUAACCUGGAAGAUAUGUUAAAGGAACAGAAUAGAGUUUCUGAAGAAAGAUUUAAGGAACUUAUGAAUAAUAUUUAUGAGAUGAAGGACCAGCUUAGAGAGGAAAUUAAAGAGAAUAAUAAACAAAUUAGAGAAGAUUUAUUGAUGGCAUUUCAAGGUUUGGCAAAAAAUUUGGAAGUAAUAGAAGAUAAAGUGGAAGAAAUUAGCCAAACAAAUCAGUAUUUGGGACUAAGAACCAGAGAGAAAAAUUAGAGGAAAUAACGGGAUUUGAAAUUGUAAAAAAGGUUAAAUAUUUAGGAGUUUUUCUUACCUCAUCAAAUGUAAAAUUGUAUAAGAAUAAUUACGAUGUGUUAUGGCAAAAAAUUCAGAAGGAAAUGAAUACUUGGAAAAAAUUACAAUUAUCUUUGUUGGGGAGAAUAGCAGCUAUAAAAAUGAAUGUUUUGCCUAAAUUCUUGUUCUUGUUUCAGAUGAUACCAAUAAUUAAGAAAGACAAAAAUUUGGAAGAGUGGCAGUUUGGAAUUAAUAAAUUUAUAUGGGAAGGGAAAAAAGUGAGAGUUAAAAUGAAAAUAAUGCAAGAUACACGGGAAAGAGGAGGAUUAAAAAUGCCUAAUUUAAAAUUGUAUUAUGAAGCAGUUGUUCUUUCUGUAAUAAGUGAUUGGUUUAAUUUGACGGAGGAAAGGAUUUUGAAUAUAGAAGGUUAUGAUUUAUUAUAUGGUUGGCAUGCAUAUUUAUUGUAUGAUAAGAAAAUAGAUAAAGCUUUUAAGAAUCAUGUGUUGAGAAUUUCUCUUGCGUGUCUGGAAAAAAUAUUAUUAUAAGUUAAACUAUAAAAUUCCUAUAUGGGCAAGUCCUCGGCACACAGUAGAGAAUAUAAAUAUAGAACAGGAACAAGAAUUGAUUACUUAUAAAGAUCUUUUAUAUAAUGAGAGGGGAAAUUUACAGUUAAAAUCUUUGUAUACAUUAAAAGAAGAAGGGAGGAAUUAUACUUAGUUUCAAUAUGGACAGUUAAAGGCUAGAUGGAAAGAAGAUCAGAAAAUUGGUAUUAUUCAAAAUGAAGAAAAUUUGGUUAAACAAAUUAGAAAUCAAACCCAGGGGCAUAUAAAGAGAUUGUAUAAUGUGUUGAUAGAAAUAGACUCUGAAAGAGAUUUAAUAAAGGAUUGUAUGACAAAAUGGGCAUAGAAUAUUCAGGAACCAAUAAUGUUGGACACAUGGGAGAAAAUUUGGGUUAGAAAUGUUAAAUUUACGCAAGCGCAGAGUUUAAGGGAAAAUUUUUAUAAGAUGUUUUAUAGAUGGCAUUUAGAUCCUAAGAAAUUAUCAUGUAUGUAUCCAGAUACGCAAGCGAAAUGUUGGAGAUGUAAUUGUGAUGAUGCUACAUAUUUUCAUGUAUGGUGGACUUGUAAGAAAAUUAAGUCUGGAUUAAGGUGGAUUAUGCAAAAUGUUUUGAAGAAGAAGAUAAAGUUCCUGCCGCAAUUUUUUCUUUUGGGAAUAAUAACAGACUGUACAGUGAUUGAGACGAAACUGAUUUUGAACUUAAUAACAGCAGCAAGACUGUUAAUUGGACAAUAUUGGAAGAAAAAAGAAGUAUCCACAAUAGAAGAAUGGAUAUUGAAAGUUUCUAAUUUGGCUGAGAUGGCUAAAAUCUCAGCCUUCUUGAAAGACAGUACUCAAGAAAAAUAUCUAAAUGAAUGGAAGAAUUGGAUUGAUUAUAUUCAAAAUAGAUAUCAGAUUAAGAAAUUUCAGAUUGCCUUUGAAUGAAGUAUGUUUUUUUGAUUUUAAUGGAAGAAGUCAGGUUAUGCGAAAGAGAAGGAUUUUAAUUGUGUUAGAUUUUAAAAAUUUAAUGUAUGACUGUUUGUUUAUUGAACUCUACCUUGUGUUUGCUCCGGGAAGUCGGGGGGGGGGAGGGGGGUUUUGGAGGGAGGGGGGAGGGGAGGGGAAAAAUUUAAUUGUUUUUGUAAAACUUUUUCAAUUAAAAAAAAAAGAAUUUGCAGGACCACUGUAGACAGAAAGCAAUUAGAAAUAUAUCUGCUUAAGGGAGCUAGGUUUCUCUUUGGAGAAUAUACAUACUGGCUGGUCCUAAACCAGACAGGGAGCAAUAUUUAUGUUUCCAAAAGUAACAGGAAAGAGCUGCUGGAAUGGUGGUGGCAGGAGGAGCAGAUCCUAGCCUUUGCCCAGAGUGUGUCUCCACUGGACAGAGCCUUGCCCAGGUUUUGACUCGACUGGAGGGAAAGCCCCACAAAGUGGGUCAGGUUUGAGGGCAACAGCCUGAGGCUAAGGUAGGAGUGAGAGUUACGUGGCAUGCCACAUCUUGCAAUAGGACUCUUUCUCCACUGAGCCAGUGGCUACAUUACUCCUAGCUACUCUGCACAUAAGAGCCACCACCCCAUGCCCAGCUCCAACAUUCAUGGCAGCCUCAACCAGCACUGUGCAACUAUCCCUAGAGCCUAAGUAGCCAAAGAGAAAUGACCAAAAAGUUGCAGCUUUGCAGGAACUUUUUUUAAUAGAAUAAAUGUAUGUAAGAUAGCAUUCAAUGAUCCUCUUCCGUUCCGGUCUUCCGUUUUGACUGACAAGAUACUUUUCUAUCAAUCCACAAAGAGACUUCAGGGUUGUGGGCCUUGCAACGUUCUGAGAUUGCUGCUUCCUUGUUUUCUGCACAAAUACACGCAUGGAAGGUGAAGGAAAAGGAGAAUCCAUCUGGAUUCUCUGGAUGAUGAGCUUUGAGCUAUUACUUUUAGGAACUGGCAGCCUUCCACCUCCCCCGUGUCCUGCUCAGUUUGCACUAAACCUUUUGUAGUGUCAUCUUAGUUUCUGCAGCUAUCCUCCAUCUUUUUGUCUUUUGAGUAGAGUGAAUCUCAUUUUUAAAAAUAGCAUUGCAUCUGUUUUGAAAGCCUUUUCCCUGCCAUGCUAUCCCAUUGAAUAUUGAUCUAUGGCAGGGGUAGUCAACCUUUUUAUACCUACCGCCCACUUUUGUAUCUCUGUUAGUAGUAAAAUUUUCUAACCGCCCACCGGUUCCACAGUAAUGGUGAUUUAUAAAGUAGAUUUAUAAAGUACUAAACUUUAUAAAAUUUAUAAUUUGACAAUUUGACAAAACCCCUACCGCCCUCCAUGAAAGCUGGAACGCCCACUAGUGGGUGGUAGGGACCAAGUUGAUUACCAUUGAUCUAUGGUAUUAAAAUCAACCUUUUUAAAGUCCAAGAUGUAUCUUGGCUAAACUUCUUAUUACUUAGGAUCAGGCCUUGCAAGGAUAGUUGAUCAUGUGCCUUCCUCUGCCCCCAAUGGAGAAUACUGCCAGCAACACAAAUUUUCUACUUUUGGUAUAUAUUAAUUAUCUCAAUAAGUGUUGGGAUGAAACAAACACACAUACAUACAUACCUGUGGAAACACAGUUUAUAACAAACCUUAGAGUCUUUUCAGCAGGUGAUAUAUAGCCCUUCCCAACAAGGCACAGACAAGAGUUACAUAGAUUUCUAUAAAGUGUGUUUAAUGUUAGGAUUGAAGGUAAAUUGGAGAAUCUUGGAAACCAUCAAAUUUCCUGUCUUCUUGCAUUAGUGGUUGAUUAAGAUUUGUGUCUCUUUGAACGAUCAAUUUCUUCUUCCUAGGCUUUUUGCAGCCUAGGCUGAGCUGCUGUGUAUUACCAAAUUCUUUCUUAUCUCUUGAUGCUUUUUAUGUCCAGUUUUCCUUCCAUGACUUUUCCACUUCCCAUAAUCUCUCAUAGUAAUCAUGUAAUUAAAAAUAAAACCAGCUCCUAUGGUAAGAGUUAUUCAUUUAAAUUCCUCUGACAUAUAUAUUUAUCACUUGUUCUUUAUUUUAUCGAUGAAUCUCUAAUGCUUAAAAGGAAAGGGAAAAAAUGCUUUUCCUAUAUUUGUUUUUCUAGUCAGAGAAUUUGACCCUUUUGUUGCAGUCUAUCCAUAACAAUAUUAGUCACAAUGAAGUGUGCUCUAGAUUUAGCCUGAAUUUUGUUCAGUGUGUUUCUGCUCACUUAUUGCCUAUGGAGUGGAUUGCCAUUCUUCUACUUCCUCUUCUUCCAUUUCCUCUGUUUUCAAUUUAUAGAGGAUGCUCCCUUUUAUGUUUUUAAAAUAAGAAGAACUGAUAUCUUUUUUU